AUGGCGACGACGUCAUGGAUGGCUCGAAGGCGAGGGCGACGACGCCGUGGACCGCUCCACCUCCUGGUUAUUCUCUGCCCCACGAGCGAAGGGCGAGUCGAUAGCCUCGCGAACGGCUCGGCUUCCUCGUCCAAUCUCUCAGUCGCCCGUGCUGGUGAACUCCACCGGUCCAGAUUUGGUCCUCCGAUGCCUUGGCUGAGUCGAGUGGCCCCAUCUCCCAUGACCCAUCUACCAUCUUCUUGUCGCUGGAGGUUGGCUAGGAGAGAGCCGCCUUGGAUCAAUGCGACGGGGAAGGAGGCGUCCGUGCAGCACCGGGGUCGCGCAGGUCGCCGCCGCCCAGGCCGUGCACCACCGCCCGCUGGUUCUCCAGAUCACACCCGGCCACAGCGCCACCAUAUCGGCACGUCACAAGAGUGGACAUGGCAGCCGCCACGGGCAGAGCAGAGCGAAGACGACGGGGUGUAG
rnacentral:rRNA from 1 species